rnacentral:rRNA from 1 species
GACGAACGCUGGCGGCGUGCUUAACACAUGCGAGUCGAACGGUAAGGCCCUUCGGGGUACACGAGUGGCGAACGGGUGAGUAACACGUGAGUGAUCUGCCCUGCACUUCGGGAUAAGCCUGGGAAACUGGGUCUAAUACCGGAUAGGACCACUGCCUGCAUGGGUGGUGGGGGAUAGCUUUUGCGGUGUGGGAUGGGCCCGCGGCCUAUCAGCUGUUGGGUGGGGUGAUGGCCUACCAAGGCGACGACGGGUAGCCGGCCUGGGAGGGUGAGCGGCCACACUGGGACUGAGAUACGGCCCAGACUCCUACGGGAGGCAGCAGUGGGGAAUAUUGCACAAUGGGCGCAAGCCUGAUGCAGCGACGCCGCGUGAGGGAUGACGGCCUUCGGGUUGUAAACCUCUUUCAGCACCGACGAAGCGCAAGUGACGGUAGGUGCAGAAGAAGGACCGGCCAACUACGUGCCAGCCGCCGCGGUAAAAC